rnacentral:tRNA from 1 species
GCGCCGGUAGUGUAAUGGCGUAGAGCAUCCUGCUCGGUAUGCAGGGGGUGCGGGUUCGAGUCCCUCCUAGUGCU